rnacentral:lncRNA from 1 species
CGAAGCCCAUCUCGGUUCAACGGUCUUCUGUGACUGUACCUGCACAACAAGACAAGAAUGAAGUAAAGAAAGCACAGAAGAUUGGUAUGGAGAAGACAGAAGAGAUAAAGUUGUUCAAUAGGUUUCAAACCCUUGAUCCAUCACGAUGAUGACACCUGUGCUUUCACUAUUAGGGUUUUACGAUUUAGAACUUGUGUAUAAAUAGACUAGUUCUAUCUUGUAACAGCCCCAAGCAAGAAUGAAAUAAAAUCAGUUCAUCUUCUUCACCUUCAAACUCAAAGUUUGCUCACUUCCUAUAUGGUAUCAGAGCCAUGGACAAUCUGUCUGUGGUUCAUCUUUCAGUUCCAUCUCUAAGCAUCAAAAACUGUGUUACAAUUACACUCAACGAACAUAACUAUAUUCUCUGGAAAUCUCAGUUUGAAUCCUUUCUUUC